rnacentral:rRNA from 1 species
CUACGGGAUGCAGCAGUGAAGAAUAUUGCACAAUGGGGGGAACCCUGAUGCAGCAACGCCGCGUGGAGGAUGACGCAUUUCGGUGUGUAAACUCCUUUUAUAUGUCAAGAAAAUGACGGUAGCAUAUGAAUAAGCACCGGCUAACUCCGUGCCAGCAGCCGCGGUAAUACGGAGGGUGCAAGCGUUACUCGGAAUCACUGGGCGUAAAGGACGCGUAGGCGGGUUGGAAAGUCAGGUGUGAAAUCCUACAGCUUAACUGUAGAACCGCACUUGAAACUUCUAAUCUAGAGUAUGGGAGGGGGAGAUGGAAUUAGUGGUGUAGGGGUAAAAUCCGUAGAUAUCACUAGGAAUACCUAAAGCGAAGGCGAUCUCCUGGAACAUUACUGACGCUAAGGCGUGAAAGCGUGGGGAGCAAACAGGAUUAGAUACCCCCGUAGUC